GGAUUAGCCUUCCAGGAGCAGCACCCGGGAACGCUGAAUGGGGUGGGAACAGAUGCCAUGUUUCUUCAGUGUAAACCUUGAAUUCAAUUUCUGUUUUCUAGACUCCAAAGGAAGCAAGUAAUCGAAUAUUAUAAACAAGUGAUAAAAAUAAAGGAAAACGCAGACGCUUUGGCCAACUCCUCACUUGUCAGGAAGCAGCUAAGCAUCAGCCUCAGUGAUACCUUGUGUAAAUUAGCAGGUUAUUUAUUGACAAGUGACUCUUGUCAUCAUGUCAUGAUUGAGGCAAUAGGCUAUUUGUACAGGUCACUUGAUUUAAGGGAGACCUAUCUGGGACCUUCUCAUUCAUCCAUCCAUGGAAUCAUGCACCUUCUGAAGGAAAUUGAGCGGACCCGCAGUAGGAAAUUUUGGCCUCUAGGCAUGUUACAGCAAUCUCCUGAGAGUUCUAAGAAUGGCUCCUUAUUAUGGGAACACCUGCUUAAAUUAGACUACCACAGUGCUCAGAGUUCUAACACAGUAAGCUCCGUGAUGCGCAUCAAUGCAGCUAAGUUAACAAGGGCUAAGAGCUUGCAGUUAGCACCACAUCAGAUUUCGGAUAAAUCAAAGUAUGCUAUAAGGAAAAAGAUCUCCAGUCCCAUUAUUUGUAUUUCUGCUGGGAAAAAGACCCAAGAGAAGGUACAGAAUAAUGUUGAAAUAUGGGAUAGCCCAAGAAAGGAAGCAUCAAAGAAAAAGAAAGAUUAUUCCAUAGAGGUUUUACCUUCGGGUAAAAAGAGUGGCUUAGUAAAGCUUUCAAAGCAGAGGAUUUUGUCUGAUGAAAGUAUGAGUGGUGCAGGCCAUGUCACUACAAUUUACCAUUCUCCCCUACUAGGGCCAUUUACCACAAAUGAUUCCUGGCACUCCAUAUCUGAGCUCAUAUCAGAAAAGUGGCUUUUUCAUAAUCCAGAUUACAACUGGACUCCUCCAAAGAGUAUUUUGAAGAGAAAAUCUCAAGUAGAAACAAAAUCGUUGAAGAACUCAACUAAUAAGGAAUAAAAACAAACCAAAACAAAACAUUGUGGGUUCUUUGUGUAAUCUUUUCCCACUUAAGUACUUUUUUUUUUUAUACCUUUGUUUUAUUUAUUUAUUUUUAUGUGGUACUGAGGAUCGAACCCAGGGCCUCACACAUGCAAGGCAAGUGCUUUACCACUGAGCCACAACCCCAGCCCCUUAAGUACUUUUAAUAUAUAUUUUCUUCUAAGACACUUAGGAGUAAUAAUAAUCAAGGCCUAGAGAUUUGAUUUUUUAAAACCCCUUG
rnacentral:lncRNA from 1 species